UAAUCCACACCUAUGUUUGCGGUAUAACACU
rnacentral:piRNA from 1 species